GAUGAACGCUGGCGGCGUGCCUAAUACAUGCAAGUCGAGCGAACGGACGAGAAGCUUGCUUCUCUGAUGUUAGCGGCGGACGGGUGAGUAACACGUGGAUAACCUACCUAUAAGACUGGGAUAACUUCGGGAAACCGGAGCUAAUACCGGAUGAUAUUUUGAACCGCAUGGUUCAAAAGUGAAAGGCGGUCUUGCUGUCACUUAUAGAUGGAUCCGCGCUGCAUUAGCUAGUUGGUAAGGUAACGGCUUACCAAGGCAACGAUGCAUAGCCGACCUGAGAGGGUGAUCGGCCACACUGGAACUGAGACACGGUCCAGACUCCUACGGGAGGCAGCAGUAGGGAAUCUCCCGCAAUGGGCGAAAGCCUGACGGAGCAACGCCGCGUGAGUGAUGAAGGUCUUCGGAUCGUAAAACUCUGUUAUUAGGGAAGAACAUAUGUGUAAGUAACUGUGCACAUCUUGACGGUACCUAAUCAGAAAGCCACGGCUAACUACGUG
rnacentral:rRNA from 1 species